AUGGUUCAUUCAUUAGUUAUUGAGGUUUAAAUGUACUAUAGGAAUUACUUUGGAUUGAUUAAGGUUCGAUUUAGGAUUAAGAUUAGGAUUAGGAUUAAGAUUUGGUUAGAAUUAGGAUUGAGAUUUUGGAUUUGAUUUAAGGUUUGAUUAGGAUUAAGAUUUGAUUUAGAUUAGGAUUUUGUUCGAAUUUUUCUAGGAUUUGACUAUAAUUUGUUUAAGAUUUGAUUAGGGCUUAUUUAGGAUUUGUCUAGGAUUUGAUCAGGAUUUAUUUAAGAUUUGGUUAGGAUUUUUUUAAGAUUUGAUUAAAAUUUGAUUAAGAUUUGAUUAGGAUUUGAUUAGGAUUUUAUUAGAAUUUGACUAGAAUUUUAGUAAGAUUUGUCUAGGAUUUGGUUAAGACUUAUUUAGGAUUUAUUUAAGAUUUUACUAGGAUUUAUUUAGUAUUUCAUUAGGAUUUAUUUAGGGUUUGAUUAAGAUUUGUCUAAGAUUUGGUUAGAACUUAUUUAAAGGUUGAUUAGGAUUUGAUAUGAAUUUGAUUAAGGUUUGAUUAAGAUUUCAUUAAGAUUUGAUUGGAUUUUGAUUGGAAUUUAAUUAUAGUUUUUAUUUUAUUAUUUUAUUAAGAUUUCUAUUUUAGUAUAUUUUUUUUGAAUCUCUAUGGUAUUCUUUUAUGAUUUCUUUAAAGAAUUUCUAGGAUUUCUUUAUGUUUCUUGUAUAAUUUCUUUGAAAUUUUAUUUGAAUUUGAUUGAUAUUUGAUU
rnacentral:lncRNA from 1 species